rnacentral:rRNA from 1 species
CCUACGGGUGGCAGCAGUGAGGAAUAUUGGUCAAUGGGCGCGAGCCUGAACCAGCCAAGUCGCGUGAGGGAAGACGGUCCUAUGGAUUGUAAACCUCUUUUGUCGGGGAGCAAAAGACGCCACGUGUGGCGUUCCGAGAGUACCCGAAGAAAAAGCAUCGGCUAACUCCGUGCCAGCAGCCGCGGUAAUACGGAGGAUGCGAGCGUUAUCCGGCUUUAUUGGGUUUAAAGGGUGCGAAGGCGGAAGAUCAAGUCAGCGGUAAAAUUGAGAGGCUCAACCUCUUCGAGCCGUUGAAACUGGUGUUCUUGAGUGAGCGAGAAGUAUGCGGAAUGCGUGGUGUAGCGGUGAAAUGCAUAGAUAUCACGCAGAACUCCGAUUGCGAAGGCAGCAUACCGGCGCUCAACUGACGCUCAUGCACGAAAGUGUGGGUAUCGAACAGGAUUAGAUACCCGAGUAGUC